AGGCAAUAUGAGAACAAAAACAUUGGCAAAUAUUAUAAAUGGUAAACAAAUUCAAUAUGAAUAAUGUAGAGUUAUGGGAAGAUGAAUGGUGAAAUGAUAACGUGGGUCAAUCUCGGCUCCAUAUGUGAAUGACGUUAAGCAAUACGUUUUAUAGAAAGGAACUCCGUAAAUACAGAGUUGCCAAUGUUUAACAUCUUCACUACGGAGCAAUUUGUAUUUAAAAAUAUAUUAG